ensembl:lncRNA
CCCAAGCACAAUGGACACUAAUGUUUUUGUCACUUUUUAUGGAAUCAAACUCAAAGUAAGAGGCCCUCUUAAAGCCGCCUGUCGGAGUGUCUGCCUGUCUGACCUCAGGUCGUGCACAAGCCCCUGUAAGUGUGGCGCCAGUGGCUGGACAGUCCAGACGAUACCAGCUGAUACCCUGUCAGCAGUGACGGCCGUGUUACCAGCACAAAAGAACUGAGAGUGUUGUGACACUCUGAAUCAAGUGGUGCUUGCCUUGUGGUGCUAUAGAUGUUAAAAGAAAUCUACAAGCAGUUAUAAUAGAGCCAUGAGGAGAGCUGGCUGGUGGAGAGACGGGGGGCAGUCUUCAUUGCUGUCCUCCUCUUCCUCCUCCUCCACCACACUCUCAGACAGAGAUAAUGGGGGAGCUGAUAGCAGCCUUGGAGACUGCUGUGGCUCCAAGCACAGAUAUGGACCGAUAACGCCUCCACCACCUCGCCUGCUGCUGCCGCUAUGUAUAUGUGUGUGUGUGUGUGUGUGUGUGUGUGUGUGCAUCUAGAUGCAAGUGUG